AACGAACGCUGGCGGCAGGCUUAACACAUGCAAGUCGAGCGCCCCGCAAGGGGAGCGGCAGACGGGUGAGUAGCGCGUGGGAACGUACCGUUUGGUUCGGAACAACUCCGGGAAACUGGAGCUAAUACCGGAUAAGCCCUAACGGGGAAAGAUUUAUCGCCGAAAGAUCGGCCCACGUCUGAUUAGCUAGUUGGUGAGGUAACGGCGCACCAAGGCGACGAUCAGUAGCUGGUCUGAGAGGAUGAUCAGCGACACUGUGACUGAGACACGGCCCAGAAUCCUACGGGAGGCAGCAGUGGGGAAUAUUGGACAAUGGGCGCAAGGCUGAUCCAGCCAUGCCGCGUGAGUGAUGAAGGCGUUAGGGUUGUAAAGCUCUUUUGUCCGGGAAGAUAAUGACUGUACCGGAAGAAUAAGCCCCGGCUAACUUCGUG
rnacentral:rRNA from 1 species